rnacentral:misc_RNA from 1 species
GUGUUAAACAUGUGUGUUGUUCCACCCAAUUUCCAGGACAUUUUAACCAUUCUUGUGUUCUAGUCCAACCAAAAAAAAACUUUUUUUUACCAAAAUAUUUGAACGAUUCGUCGUGCGUAUUUCGGAUUUUGUAGGUUUAUCAAAUGAACGUGGAAUGUUCCUUAAUUGAUUAAAUUGGUGCGAAUGCAGUUUCGGACGUGUUGUUGGUAGUGUCAAUGGGAUUCGAUUUUGUAGCGCCUGAAAAUCGCUGUGUGAUUCGUGAAGGAUUCCCAGUGGGUGUUUUUGCAAGGACCUAGCCCAGUCCUGAUAAAGGCUAGAAGUGAGCCACCUAGUGGAUUAAGGGAUGUAAUGGUGAGGAUGUAAGCUUCGCAAGUCAGCUCGAAAACGUGAUUGAUCCUUGAUCUGUGCCCAGUGUUCGCGGUCAUAUAUUCUUUUGCCUUCGAGGUGACAUUACAUGACUCAGGUUCAGGUUUUUCCUAUGCCGUUGUCUUCUUCUUUUUCUUCUUAUUCCCGUUCAUUCGUAUGUGGACCACACCCGCGCGCGUGCACACGUUAAACACCGAGCCCCAACGGAGCUCCCACCCGAGAAGAAAAUUAUAUUUCGUCGUCGGUGUUCCUUUUAGUUACAAAUACAAGUGCAAAAAUUGACAGAAACCAUUCGCACAUAUACGCUUGCUUUUACGCUUACACGCUCACCAAGUUCGUCCUGAUGCUCAACUCGAUACUGCUCCAAAUCGACAUGUACUCGUACCCUUAGAUAGGAGAAUCCUUUUUCCUAGGAUAAUAGAGAAAUUUCGCUGCGAAAAUAAACUCGAAACGAAUGCUAACACCGGAACAUAAUUGAUCGCUCCAAAUCGCUAUUUAAAUCACCUGGAAUCAUCCACCCUCAGAGGGCGCGUGGCGAAUUACCAAGCUCGUUCCCGAGGACUGUGUUAAUAAUUGCAUAAAAAUUAAAAAUUGCUAACAUCAAGCUCCACAUGCGUGUGCGUGUCUAAAUAAAAAAAUCCGUAUCUGCAUUGUGUAGUAUAUUUCAUUCGCGGUAUUCUGUGAUAUGUUUGCUAUUUUUCGUUCUUCGUCCUUCCCUUGAGUUCGCUGAAAGAUUGAGUGGAAAAGUUCAAAGUGAAAAUUUACUUUCUCGUUCAACUGAAUAGAAAGUACAAUAGUUACAAUACUCGAAAAAGGCUACAAAAUUGUUAUAUCGCGCUGUGCUGAAGUUGAAAGUUCGCUACACGUUUUAUUGUGCAGUUAUCGUAAAAGUUUCCAGCUUUGAAGUGAAUAUCGAAUCGGGCAAUACAAGUUUUUUAAGUUUAAGUUUUUAAUAGUGUUUGGAAAGGGUUCAACGUUGUUUGGGAGCGAUUUCUAGUCAGAAUUAGAUUGGCAGCUGGAAAUGCACAAUCUAAAAAGGUGACGCCGCUGCAAUGACGACGAUCCGUUAGCGGCAGUGACUAUGGGACCAGAGGCAUGGGCGUGCUCGCGGACCCUGGGUCUUUCCGGUGGUGUCAGGCAUUAAGCCGGUCGCGAUCGUUCGCCACAAAAUCUACAUCUAAUCAACAUCUACCUACAAUCAAAUCAUCGUUUGCGGGAAAACAAAUCAAACAGAACUAUCGAUCCAACUACUACGUUGCAUUGCUCAUUAUUAUUGCAAUUCUAACAAAACAAACUAUAGCUAAUAACAUUAAUCCAGAAGAUGCUGUACACAUUACAGCAAUAUUGGGCGAAAGUGUUGUAUUCAAUUGUCACGUCGAAUUUCCAAACGAUCAUCCUGUACCCUAUGUCCUGCAGUGGGACAAGAAGGUGAGCGAAACGGGUUCGGACGUACCGAUUUACAUUUGGUACGAGAAUUACCCCACACAUAGCGGCGAAGGUUACGAAGGACGUGUCUCACGUGUGUCACCGGACUCACCCUACGGUGCAGCAUCACUCAAUCUGACCAAUAUUCAAGAGGCGGAUCAAGGAUGGUACGAGUGUAAAGUAGUAUUUUUAAAUCGUGAUCCAAAGCAGCAUAAGAAUGGUACAUGGUUCCAUUUAGAUGUACACGCACCACCACGUUUUAGUGUUACUCCAGAGGAAAUUAUUUAUGUAAAUUUAGGUGAUUCAAUUAUUCUAAAUUGCCAAGCAGAUGGCACACCAACACCCGAAAUUUUAUGGUAUAAAGAUGCUGAUCCAGUUGAGCCAUCAUCUACUGUUGGUAUUUUCAAUGAUGGUACCGAGUUACGGAUAUCAACAAUCCGCAACGAGGACAUCGGAGAAUACACGUGUGUCGCGCGCAAUGGUGAGGGACAAGUCUCCCAUACGGCCCGUGUUAUAAUAGCGGGCGGCGCUGUAAUCAUGGUGCCGCCCACCAAUCAAACCAAAUUGGAAGGCGAGAAGGUGAUAUUUCCUUGCGAGGCCAAGGCGAUGCCAGGCAAUGUCACCGUGCGAUGGUUUCGAGAGGGAUCGCCUGUGCGCGAGGUCGCGUCCUUAGAGACCCGAAUCACGAUCCGCAAGGAUGGCUCGCUUAUUAUAAAUCCCGUUAGUGCGGACGAUUCGGGACAGUAUUUGUGCGAAGUGACGAAUGGCAUUGGAGAUCCGCAGACUGCUUCGGCUUAUUUGAAUGUUGAAUAUCCUGCCAAAGUGACCUUUACACCAACUGUACAAUAUCUACCUUUUCGUCUUGCCGGAGUCGUUCAAUGCUACAUUAAGGCCAAUCCUCCACUACAGUAUGUAACAUGGACCAAAGAUAAACGCUUGCUCGAACCAUAUCAAACCGAAGACAUCGUUGUCAUGAAUAAUGGUUCAUUACUCUUCACCCGGGUGAAUCAAAGUCAUCAGGGCCGUUACACAUGCACCCCAUACAAUGCUCAAGGCACGCAAGGAUCUUCUGGACCGAUGGAGAUCCUCGUGCGUAAGCCGCCAACUUUCACCAUCGAACCGGAACCGCUGUAUCAGCGUAAGGUUGGCGAAUCCGUCGAAAUGCACUGCGACGCUCUCGAGGCCGAGGGCACACAAAAAAUCAACAUACAAUGGCAACGACGUGACGGUGCCCCGUUACAACGAAAUCGCGUUAAAAUGAAUGGUGGCAAUAUAACCGUUGAAAAUUUAAGACGUUCCGAUUUCGGCUAUUAUCAAUGCGUUGCUUCGAACGAGGUGGCGACAAUAGUUUCAGCAACGCAGCUCGUAAUAGAAGGGACGCAGCCUCACGCCCCCUACAACUUAUCCGCAACCGCCACAGAUAGCUCGGUGACCAUUCAAUGGAUGCCGGGCUACAGCGGAGGACCGGAUUACAAACAGGACUACACAAUCUGGUAUCGAGAAGCCGGCGUUUCAGAUUGGUCCACGAUCCCAGUAACGCCAUCCGGCAGCACCCAGGUCACAAUCAAUCGCCUCUCGCCCGGCACCACCUACGAAUUCCAGGUAGUCGGAAAGAACGCACUCGGCGAGGGGAUGAUGAGUAAAGUAAUGACUAUAAAGACACUAGAUGCCGCUCGUACUGUAAAAGCUCCAACACCAGUACCAAAUGAAUUUGAAUUUUCACUUAUGCCCGACGAAGCUGGUCCGAAGCCCGGUCAGCCACGUAACGUGACGGUGACCGAGGUACCAAACGGGUUCCUUAUUACCUGGCAGUCGCCGCUCGAGCGCGCUCACCUCGUCAAAUUCUACACCAUUAAGUACCGCACAGACGCGCAAUGGAAGACACUGAAUCGCGGUCAAAUACGACCUGAGGAGACCAACUACCUGGUUAAGAAUUUGGUUGGCGGACGUACUUACUAUUUCCGCGUUUUGGCCAACUCCCAGAAGAGCUAUGAAUCCAGCGAUGAAGUUAAAUUCCCGGUACCGGCUCGCGUCAAACAUAAAGCCAUAACAGCCGGGGUCGUGGGCGGCAUAUUAUUUUUUAUCGUUGCAAUUAUUCUAUCUAUUUGUGCCGUUAAAAUUUGCAAUAAACGAAAACGACGAAAACAGGAAAAAGAAAUAAUUCGUUUGCAGAGUACAACAUGGUAGCUUGUAGGAUAACGGACGCCCGAAACACAGCUAGUCGAACGGGCUCCGCUUCCAGUAGUCAAGUGCCUUUGAAAAAGAGUGAUUCCGAUCAUUGCCGGGAUUACGAGACCGUUU